CUUUUCUGUAUUUGUCUCGCUGACUUUUUGUCAUCCAAUGUAGAUGUUUUCUAGUUGAGGAGCACAUGGGCAAUUGAAGAGCAUGUCAAAACGAAGAGCCAGACUUAGUCCUGAGGCUGAGGCUAUUCAUUUUAUUAUUUCUGGAAGUGACAAGCCUUGUUAUAAAGUCAAAUGGAUCAAUGACUAUAAAGCACGUGGUGUAUUUGCCUCAGCACCAAUUGAAAAGGGAUCAUUUGUCCUCGAGUACCGUGGGGAGUUUAUAUCGCAAUAUGAACGGGACAAGAGGCAGGGGAAGUAUACGGAAAAGCAAAAAUGCUUUCUUGUUUGAUUUUGAAUGGAACAAUGGCUCAUGGUGCAUAGAUGCAUCCUGCGAAGAUGGUUCACUGGGGAGGCUGGUAAAUGAUGCCCACAGGUCCCCAAAUUGCUAAAUGAAAAAGAUGAUAGUCCAAUGUAAACCUCAUCUUUGCUUGUUUGCUAUUGAAAACAUCCAAGCAGAGAGUGAAAUAACCUAUGAUUAUGGAUAAUCUCAGUGGCCAUGACGUGCUCUGACACCAAGUGACAAGAUCCCAGCUCAACCUUCAGCAGACC